CCUACGGGAGGCAGCAGUGGGGAAUUUUGGACAAUGGGCGCAAGCCUGAUCCAGCAAUGCCGCGUGCAGGAUGAAGGCCUUCGGGUUGUAAACUGCUUUUGUACGGAACGAAAAGGCUCUGGCUAAUACCUGGGGCUGAUGACGGUACCGUAAGAAUAAGCACCGGCUAACUACGUGCCAGCAGCCGCGGUAAUACGUAGGGUGCGAGCGUUAAUCGGAAUUACUGGGCGUAAAGCGUGCGCAGGCGGUUUUGUAAGAAGGGUGUGAAAUCCCCGGGCUUAACCUGGGAACUGCACUUGUGACUGCAAGGCUGGAGUACGGCAGAGGGGGAUGGAAUUCCAGGUGUAGCGGUGAAAUGCGUAGAUAUCUGGAGGAACACCGGAGGCGAAGGCGGUCUCCUGGCCCGUUACUGACGCUCAGGCACGAAAGCGUGGGGAGCAAACAGGAUUAGAUACCCUGGUAGU
rnacentral:rRNA from 1 species